UCCUAGAGGGAGAGUACACGACCUCGGAUGGUCCCGUCUACUUCCUAUCUCUCCCGCAUCCCUCAACAGAGUCCAAGGAACAGCUCAACAUCACGCUCGAUGAGACAACUGGAUGACUCCGCUCAUCGCCUACCUCCGGGACGGAACCCUGCCAAAUGAGCAUAGUAAGGCCCGACAGGUCAAGGCACAUGCGGCCAAAUUCUUCCUGCAAGACGAUAUCCUAUACCGA
rnacentral:lncRNA from 1 species